UGCAAACAACACAAGCACCUGAAAUGGGGCUAAACAUAUCAUAUUGCAUUACAUGUAAGUAAACUCUUAAACUGCCAUUAAAAGAACAUUUUUAAUCUCAGCAACCUAAACACCCCUACACUUCCACCAUACUUGGCGCCUUCCACUUGGCACACCUCCUUGUAAGCCAAUGGCAGGCAUUAUUUCUGUUUAACAGUUCCUGAUUGUGGAAGUGGAGUGUAUACAAGGCUGUGGAGCAACAAGCACACAUUCCAAAUCCAAAUCCAGUUUGGAACCACUGCCCUGGAGGGUACGGCGUAGCCCUGUGACACGCUGAAUGCGUUUAGGUUACAAACAUAAUGAUGACAGUAACUACGGAUGUUAUCAGAAAACCUACCGAUGAUUUCUGCAAGCUGGAUCCGCAGCAUUGUGCUUCAUGUGCCGAAAUUUCAGAUGACAGGUGGUACAGUGUCCCUGCGCAGCACUUCUUCUGUUUGUUCUUAAUGUUGUAGGCUUGAACCCCACAGCAGCGCUUGUUUUCUUCUUUGGAAUGUCUGUGUGGAUACAGGUUUAGCAGUGAGUGUCACAUCAGGGGAGUGAGAUGAAGAAAUUAUUAUAAUUGUAUUGUGAUCAUUUAAAGAUAGAUGGUCUAAAAAGGGGGCUAUGGAUGCGAGAUUGACAUCACUUCUGCAACACAGUGUCUAAAAUGAUAUGUUCAGCCACUGUACUGUUGUAUCACAGUAGUGAUCAUUACAAAAAGGGGGGGGGAGACUUGAAGCAUAAAAAUCUGAGUAAAAUGCAUGUUAUGCUGUUAGUGUUAGAAGGUGUACUGAUUAAAAUAAAAUAUCUAUUUAAAUAGAAAAUCAUGUAUCAGACAGAAAUGACUAAAAACACUGCUGAAAAGCACCAGUGAACCAAACUGACUCAGAACAGCGUGGAAAUAUUAUCAAUCAAAACACAUGUAGAUUAGCAAGUUAGAUUUUUCUCUCCAGGCAGAUUUUGAAAAAAAAACCCAACAAACUCAGUCAAUACAGUGCUGACUGUAAAUCUAAAACUGUGACCUAAAACUAAAAAGCUGAAAAUCAACCGGGUGUAUUAAUAACUUAUGUGAAUUAAUCACGGCUAUUGACUACUUUCACAUUUUAAAGACAUUUCAUUGUUAGGAAAGAGUAUUUAUCUGAACUCCAAAAGAAAGAACAAAAUGUAUUAUGACUUAAAUAUUAGGCCCCGUUCAAAUAUGGUAAACCUUUGUGUGAGGAGAAGUCAUAACAUACACGUGAAAAACAUACAGUCAGCCAGAAAAAUACAAAAAUUAAGAGAAAGCAGCUGACCCAGCCGUACAGACAUUCCCUGACUCAGUAGCUGGGUACAUUUUAAGGUUAAAAGGAAACAGUGGUCUGGAAAGAUACUGGAAUUCCUGCCCGUCUCAGACACUGUGAUUUUUUUCCCCCAGCCCCUCCUUGUCUGAGAUUCUCUAUUCCCUCAUGCACAGACUCUUUUCUUGGCAUUUUAAACACAUUGCAAGCCACAGCACACAGAGCCCGACAAAUACACCAACAAAGCUGAUUCAACAAUGAGGGUUACAAUUUCACUGAAUGUCAUCAGUAUUUUUUUAUGGAUAAACAUCAACAGAGAUGCACGCAUAAUCACCUGUGUCCAUUGCAGCAGAUUUCUCUAUGAGGAUUGUAGAGUUCUGUCCCACAGCUGUGUUGUCCUGGUGAGCCAUGAAACUUAUUACAACAUAUAGUCCCUUUAGAUUGGAGGUAAGGAACACUGAUGUCUGAACACUCCUCUCCAUCCUUUCUGUCUGUUUCCAGAUCAAAACAAAGGACUUUGUGCUGUGCCAAGCUGUUCUGCAUCGCUCCGCAGCCCUGGAAGAGAGAGAGAUUUUUUUUUUUAAUAAAAAAGGGUGCGGAAGAGCAGAAACAAGGGGGCACGGUCGGUCAUAACCACACUCAAAUGCAAAAAAAAAAUAAUGAAACAUCGCAAAUCCUAAUAACUACAAAGAAAGUUGUGCAAAGAAAAUCUUACCAGGGUGAUUUUAUAGCAUCCUAAUCCAAAUGCUGUUAACGUUCAUGGCACUAACGUUAGCAGGGCUUUAGUCCGAUAGACACAAAACAUUCUCACUUGCUCUAUAAAAGGAGCUGGGAGGAGCUCUGAGCUCUUUGUCAACUUCACUGUACUGAGGCAGCAGUUGUUGUUGUUUUUUCCUUCACAGUAAUAACAUAUAACGUCGUAAUGAUGACAGCGUGUAUUUAAACUGUUAACAUCAUUCACUCAUCUGAGCACAUAAGAUAGAAAAAGGGUCAGUGGUACAUUACCUGAUCCAAAGACUUCCACUCAGAGAUACAGCCAGCACAGCAGACAUGUGAACAUGUGGGGUCAAUAUUACCCUGACCUAGACACAGGAUAGUUGAUACAAGAUGGAUCAAUUCAAGCAGAACAGAAAAAAACAGCGGAGUUUAAACAUGUGCAGAGGGUGUGGGCAUGAAGAAAAUGAUUCAGAGGGUUAGACCAAGACAAACCAAUUUGAUAAACAGGGCUGACAUUUAAUAAGUGCUGAAAAACUGAUAAAGUUUUGCUUUGAUAAACACCCACAUCCUAUCUUCCCAGAGUAGAAAGGCUGUAGAACUGUGUGUGAACAGUGUUUCAAUAUCCACAUCUGAACAAAACAAAGACAUGAGCUGAUCUGCAGUCCUGGGAAAAAGCAGCUUUACGAGGCACCGGGUGUGUGUAUUGCGCCUGUCUGCUGGGACAAGUCGCCACAGGGAAGGGCUAAGGCUCUCUUGUUGUUGGAUCUCACCAUGCGUUCCCUGUUUCCAUGACCUGCAGGAUGGAAUCUUAAUCUCAAUUUCAAAUGGUUCGUGUCCAACUGAACAACUCCCUGAGAUCUGGCAAAUACAAAAAGCGAAAAUAAGAAUUCAUGACUCUACAUGCUGUUUUUGAAAUUCUUCUGGAGUCAGUCAUUGGACAGGAAAGUCGUCAGACAGUGUUAUAUUUUGUGUUCCUUUGUAAUGGAGUUAAUGAUUCCACUUGCCAUCACUUGGCAUAGAAUGUCUUUAUUUGACUAUUUCUAUUGUUUAAAUACCGUUUAUAAUUAAUUCUAAUGAGUAUCCACUGGGACUCUGUGUAACAUAAGCGCCCUCUGCUUGUGCCCCUGCAGACUUGAGCAGUGCAACCCGUGUAUCUUUGCCAGUCUGCACUAUGCUGUCCCCGUGAUUAAACGGCGUGCUGGUGCCAAAAGUAAAAGUGUUUGAAUGAUUCAUCACACAACGCAAGAGAGAGUACACAACCGCUACACCUUGAUACUUCCAAAGUGAAAGUUCAGCUAAAAUGUUAACACCAAAGAACAGA